GAAGGGGGCAGAUAACUCAUAAUAUUCUUACUCGAUUGUGGCAGGCUUGGAAAGAAAAUCAUUUAGAAUUGAAGAGAACAAGAGCCGUGUAAGGAAAGCAGUGUGCUUGGUGACAGGAACUUGGAAUGAGACUGGUGUAAAGAACCUGGCCGUGGUGUCAGACAGAGAAGAUUUGAAUCCCGUUGUUGUCACUUAUAAGCAGUAUGAUUCCCUGGGUUUUCUUCUGUGUCAAAUGGAAGUGAUAAUUGGAUAUGUUUCGUAAGGCGAUUGUGAAGGCUAGAUAGGAUAACGGAGAUGCAUCUUUUUGGGAAAACCGUUUUCUGCCCAAAGGAAAUCAGCUUUCCUGUUUUCUGUUGUUAUCAAUAUUGCUGUUUGGGUUCCCUUGAGUGUGGAUUAAAUGGCAGCUGAGAAAUCUUGUUGGGACCACCUCUUCCCAUUGCCUUUCAAAGUGAAGUCUUGACAAGAAAUGAGUUCUUCCCAAAGAUAAGUACAUUGGAGGUUGGGUCUGGUGGUAGCUUCCUAAUGAAUUUGUGGUGCACAGAUCUGUCCUUGAGCUAUUUUCUGUAAUGUUCUCACUGCAGUGUCCCAUGACUGAUCUUAUUUCAGAGAAUUGUAUGAGUUUUGCAGCAAAUUACAAGGAAGGCCUGGUUCCUAAAAUCAGCUGAAGGCCAAUUAAGGUUUCUUGGGGCGCUUUCCUUCAGCUGCAAUGUCAUCAUAAAUGACUCUCCAGUGCAGUGGAGGGCUGACAUUUUGUAAGCUAAUACUAUAUUUUGGGAGUGAUUAAAAUCUCCAUCUCAGUCACCUGCCUGACCAACUGCCAGUGGCCACAAAACAAAAAGAUUACAGUCAAUUCAUAUCCAUUAGGAAAAUGACAUGAAACACUAUUGGUUUAGGCUCAGUGGGGCUUAAUCUGAUUUCAGGAAGAAAGAAGAGGUGUGCAAUUAAAGGAGAGAGGAAAGGCAGAAAAGAAAAUCAAAUGAGAAUUUUCCCCCAAAACCCAAGGCCUUUUUGGUUUGUUCAUUUCCAUAAGGAUUUAUUAAGUACCUGUUGAGUUCUUCCCACUAUGGUAGACCCUGAAAGGGAAGAAGGAGAAAACACUAGCAAUGCCUGUCCUCAGAAUUUGCAGUGAAGUAGGGGGGAAAUACUACACACUGAGGAGGUGGCCAGAGAAUUAGCAGAUUCAUGUUAGUAGGAAUUUAAAAAUAUUCUUUAGGUGCCUGGCACAGUUGGAAAAGGAAAAGAAGAUAAGUGAGAAAGGAUAGUUGACAUCUACAUGCUCUUACUGUGUGCUUCACAUUAAGUUUUACACAUAUUAACUCACCUUUACAACAACCCUACAUACCAUUAUUAUUCCCGCUUUAUGGAUGAGAAAACUGAGGCCCACAGUAGUGAAGAAACUUGCCUGAGAUCACACAGUCCGCAAGAGGAAGAGCUGGGGUUUGCAUACAGCUACUCUGGUCCUAGAAUCUGAGGUUUUACCAUUAUUCUAUGUGGCCUCCCAAGGUGAUGGGGUAUUCCUGACCCAUGAGGAUUUUCAUUCUCCAUGGGGAGAUGAGGUCUAGGUGUGGGGAUAAUUAAGCUACAGGUAGAGGGUGUAACAGUGGAGGCAGGGAAUAGAGUGAUUGAUGACUUCAGAAAGGUGGGUGUGCUAACUGAACUCUGGACACGGAUGUGUAUAUGUUGGGGGAAGCUCUGCACAGAGGGAUAGAGAAGGUUCUAACCCAGGAAAAGAGCACGAGCAGAGGAGACUGAAAGAAUGGCUACAAUUUGCAGUUACUUGUUUGUAGUUGUCCAAGAAGAGAAAUCAUUAAAUCAAAGGGUGCCUUCUUACAAGGACAAGGGUUUAUAGCACUAGGGACAAGAGCAAGGAUGUGGAAUCUGACAGACUAAGUUUAAAGUUCGAUUGUGUCAUGCUCCUCAAGUGACCUUGAGAGAGUUACCUAGCCUUUAUCGGCAAAUGCAAGAUGGGAAGAACGGCUAUAGAAGAACUGGGAAAGUCUCUCAUCUUGUAACGGAGCUCAUUUAUUUACUUCUUCAAAAAUAUUCAUUAGGAACCAAUUACCUGCCAUGUGCUGUGCUAGAUGUUGGGACAAUGAACAAGGCAAACAUGAGUGUUGCUCUCGUAGAGCUUGUAUUCUAACUGGGGAGGCAACAUAAUAAACAAGCAGUAAUCAACAAGUAAUCUUAGGAUAUGAGAGGGAUUUUGAAGAAAACAUAGGGUUGGGGCCAAGUAGAAUUAAUGGCUUUUACUGUGCCAAGGACAGUGUUUGUCAGGUAGGAGGCAAUCAAAACACAGGAGCUUUCAUUUUACAUUUAUUAAUAGCUCCAUCUUGAAAUUCAACAUGUAAGAGGAAGCCAAGGUAUCAGAUACUCUUUGCUGCCUACCAGGAGGGCAUUUCUCCUUUCACCUUGCUUACAGACCCCUCUUUAAUCCAAGAUUCAUCUUAUGCCCACAGGCAAGGUGUUGGGGUUACAGGAAGCUCAGGAUGGAUGUCUACAUCUCCAAGGAACUAUCACUUUCUACCAAAAUGUGAGAAGAAACUCUGGAAUACAAUGUCAUGAGGAUGGGAACUGUUGUGUAUUCACUGCUUUCCCCUCAGUGCCCAGGACAGUUCCCAGCACAGAAUAGGGGCUCAACAAAUGUCUGUGGAAUUAUUAAACAGGUCAAUUGAAAUAAACAUGGAUAUAUUUUAGAAUCACACAAGCAUGGCAUAAAAUUUUAAAAAUCCAAACAGAUGGCAGUGCUCCUGCUGCAUUUGAAACAUGGGCUUCCUCAGACUCUGCUCUGAAAUUGCAAUGGAGGAGAAACCAGUGGUUUCAAGGAACAGAAAGGCAGGGGAAGCUGGGCCAGCCUCAGCUCUACAAGGGUGGUCACCAGCUCCGGGACUGACAAGGGCCAUAGUACAAGACGGAGACGAAGUGCCGAGUUCCCAGAGGCUGUUGGUGGUGGCGAGGCCUGUGCCAUGAGCGGUGUCUUCUGGAAGAAUGUCGGGAAGAAGUUUGAAGACAGGCUGGCCCGAAUUCACAGCCCAGGAGAGGUCUGACUUAAAAAUAAAUCCUUGUGUAAAUUAAAAAAGGAAUCUAAGCAAGCCUAUCUAUAAAGUCAGGAUGUUACUGGCUGUUAAUUGGUAAUAUAUAUGGCUUAAUAAGAAAACCGUAAACUGAGUUCUAAUUCUUUAAAUCUUUUUCUGCAUAUAUAGCAUCUUUUUACUCACUUAUUACAAAGUAUCUCACAUAACUCACCUAGAUGUUUGGCCAGAGUGAAUUUUAUGUAGCAUUGAUAUAUGUCAUCAUACUGAACUUGUGUAUUAGACAUGGAAAUAUACUGAAACAUGUAAUUUCUCAUGUUGCCAUUAAUACCCAUUAAGAGAGUUGUUAAGAAAAAAAAAAGAAAGAGAGUUGUUUAGUUAUUAUUUGACCAUUGUUCCGACUGAAGAACCAAAACACCAAACACCUGGAGGAGGGACUUGUCUAAGUUCACAAGGCUAAGUGCAGGCAACACCAAUGCCUGGGGCUGUGUUUCCUGAUUCUCAGACCUGCAGUUAAUGGGAACACUUUAUCACACUAAAGUAAAUCAAUUUUCAUUCUUCCAUUUAUCUCUGCGUGCAAUGAAUGACAGAGUGACUAUACCUAACAGGGGGUCAAUAUCGAGAUGCUGGAAACAAAGAGAUGAAAAAAAUGAUUCCAUUCUCAAGAAGCUACCAUUAAUAAUGGGAGAAUCGUAAAUGCCAAUGGAUGACCAGCAAUUUGAUUAUGCAUGACUGUUACAGCAGUUAAAUAUCGAGGGCAUGCAGAAGGCAUGUAGGUAACCAGCAGGAAAGUCAGGGAAGGCUUUGCCAAGGCAGAGACAUCUGAGAUUAUCCUUAAAGGAAAAAUCUGUUUACAAGGCAGUGAGUAGGGGUGUGUGUUGGGGAAGGACACUCAAAAUGGAGGGCACAGGAAGGUCAUAAACAGAGAAGUGUUAAAGGGCAUGGACUGUCCUGGGAACGGUGAUAUAAAUUCAGUGCCGUCGGGUCCUAAGAUGUGGUGGGUGCAUAAAUGGGAGACAAGGCAUGUGCACUGGGUGCCAGAAAGCUUGUUGGUCAUUCUGAGAAGUGCAGACUCAGAGCAUGAGGUGAAGAGACUCAAGGGUGUGUUGCAAGUUGUGUGUGUGUGUGUGUGUGUGUGUGUGUGUGUGUGAGGGAAGGGGAGA